rnacentral:rRNA from 1 species
UACGAAGGGUGCAAGCGUUACUCGGAAUUACUGGGCGUAAAGCGUGCGUAGGUGGUUUGUUAAGUCUGUUGUGAAAGCCCCGGGCUCAACCUGGGAAUGGCAAUGGAUACUGGCAAGCUAGAGUGCGGUAGAGGGUAGUGGAAUUCCCGGUGUAGCGGUGAAAUGCGUAGAGAUCGGGAGGAACACCAGUGGCGAAGGCGGCUACCUGGACCAGCACUGACACUGAGGCGCGACAGCGUGGGGAGCAAACAGG